rnacentral:ribozyme from 1 species
UUUUUUUUUUUUUUUUUUUUUUUUUUUUUUCUAUCCUUCUCCUUU